rnacentral:tRNA from 1 species
AGGAGUUUAGGAUAAUCUACUAACCCAUAGACCU